CGAACUGAUUAGAAGCUUGCUUCUAUGACGUUAGCGGCGGACGGGUGAGUAACACGUGGGCAACCUGCCUGUAAGACUGGGAUAACUUCGGGAAACCGAAGCUAAUACCGGAUAGGAUCUUCUCCUUCAUGGGAGAUGAUUGAAAGAUGGUUUCGGCUAUCACUUACAGAUGGGCCCGCGGUGCAUUAGCUAGUUGGUGAGGUAACGGCUCACCAAGGCAACGAUGCAUAGCCGACCUGAGAGGGUGAUCGGCCACACUGGGACUGAGACACGGCCCAGACUCCUACGGGAGGCAGCAGUAGGGAAUCUUCCGCAAUGGACGAAAGUCUGACGGAGCAACGCCGCGUGAGUGAUGAAGGCUUUCGGGUCGUAAAACUCUGUUGUUAGGGAAGAACAAGUACGAGAGUAACUGCUCGUACCUUGACGGUACCUAACCAGAAAGCCACGGCUAACUACGUGCCAGAGGG
rnacentral:rRNA from 2 species